UUCCAUCUCCAACACUAAAAUUUGCCACUUGCCAACCCCCUAAUCAAGAAGCAGUGUAAAGAACUCAAAACCAGUGGUUGUUCGAUAUGUGAAUGGCGAGAGAAAAAUAAAACGGUUGAAUCUCUCGAAGUUGUUCAUAACCUAUCAGCUUUGCUAUAAAUUGUUGCUCCAAUUUCCAAUAGAAGUCCCCAUCGUUGAAGCGUGCCAUGUUGAUGUAUUCUUAACUGAGUUUUACAACAAGAUGAAAAGAAAAAGAAAAAGACAUUUAUGAAAGGCAUAAAUGAAGAUGAAGAUGUUGAUGCAGUCGCUGCAUUAGUUCAUAGUACCACAAGAAGUAGUUCAACGAAGCAGAUAACAUGGAACUAAAAGAAGGUUAGCAGCUAAGGCGAUUAAUUUUUAAACCAUGAAGAUUAUGAAGAGUAUAAGCUUGGAGAAGAGUCUAGAAGCAUGAAGAGAUUCCUUUCUAGUAGAAAAAGAAACAUGAAGAAUAAUUUUCUAUUCUAAAAAAGAGGAAAUUUGCAAAGAGAUUUGACAAUUCCUAUUAGGAUUAUAAUAGGAAUUUAAUCUUGUAUGGCCACGACCUAUUGUGUAUAAAUAGGGGGCUAAGCCUUGUAGAGGUUAGCACAAAAGAGCAAUAGAAUUCUUAGAUAUUAAGUUUAUAUGGUUUCUUGUAGAAAAGCAUAACGCUUAAGGGGACUAAGGAGUUUUGUCUUGAGAAGUUCUUAGAUUGUGUAUAAAUCCAUAAACAUGAGAGAUUAGAUAAUUGAUUGAGUGAAACUUGUAAGUUUACUAAACAGAUUGUCUAAUAAAAAAGUUUUAUUUUGAAGAA